rnacentral:rRNA from 1 species
UACCAGCACCCCGAGUGGUCGGGACGAUUAUUGGGCCUAAAGCAUCCGUAGCCGGUUCUGCAAGUCCUCCGUUAAAUCCAGCUGCUCAACAGAUGGGCCGCGGAGGAUACUACAGAGCUAGGAGGCAGGAGAGGCAAGCGGUACUCAGUGGGUAGGGGUAAAAUGCGUAGAUAUCGGGAGGAACACCAGUGGCGAAGGCGACUUCUUGGGCCGUUCCUGACGCUGAGGCGCGAAAGCUGGGGGAGCGAACGGG